AAGCAGCCCUUGUAUUUUUGACUUCCUAUUUUGGACUACCUCUCGACAUAACCAAAUAAAAUAUCAGUAUCAGUUCGCAACUAAACCGGAAGUAACCAUAUUGGCAUUUGUUUGGCAAUCAAACAAUACUUGAGACGAUACACCAUCUGUGUGCCUAUUUCCGUGAAGUUAACUGAAGAUUUAGAUUUAUCAUCGACAUGCCGUGCUGUCAGAUCUCAAACUUUUAUCAGUUCCGUCCACCCAAGUGCUAUCCACAGUUCUGUCCACCGUGUUGCUCACCGUGCUGCUCUCCGUGCUCUCAGUGUGGUCCUUGUGGAUCCUGCUGCGGUGGAUGUGGCUACUGUUAACUUCAGAAAGAAAUCGAGGUACCCUUUUAAGACUCACUCAAGUAUAAUGCCCUUUUCGGAAUUGUGCUAUAAAAUUUUAAACAAUUAUAUGACAAACCAAAAAUAAAAGUAACUUUAU